rnacentral:tRNA from 1 species
GGCUCUGUAGUUUAUAAAAAUGGUAAGUUGCAGACUUAAAGAUGGUUUUAACCCUGGGCUU